rnacentral:rRNA from 1 species
GAAGGUGGCAAGCGUUGUUCGGAUUUACUGGGCGUACAGGGAGCGUAGGCGGUUCGGUAAGCCCUCUGUGAAAUCUCCAGACUUAACCUGGAACAGUCGGGGGGGACUGCUGGGCUAGAGGACGGGAGAGGAGCGCGGAAUUCCCGGUGUAGCGGUGAAAUGCGUAGAGAUCGGGAGGAAGGCCAGUGGCGAAGGCGGCGCUCUGGAACGUUUCUGACGCUGAGGCUCGAAAGCGUGGGGAGCAAACAGGAUUAGAUACCCUGGUAGUCCACGCCUUAAACUAUGAAUACUAAGUGUCGGCGGGUUACCGCCGGUGCCGCAGCUAACGCAUCAAGUAUUCCGCCUGGGAAGUACGGCCGCAAGGUG